rnacentral:rRNA from 1 species
GACAGAGGAUGCAAACGUUGCUCGGAUUUACUGGGCGUAAAGCGCGCGCAGGCGGUCCCGUAAGUCGGACGUGAAAGCCCAGGGCUCAACCUUGGAAGUGCGUCCGAUACUGCGAGACUGGAGUACUGGAGAGGAGAGCGGAAUUCCCGGUGAUAGAGGUGAAAUGCGAUAGAUAUCUGGGAGGAACACCGGUGGCGAAGGCGGCAUCCUGGACCGGCAUUGACGGACUG